UUUUUGAUGAAUUGCUUGUAUCCGUCACUGCUGACCCAUAUGAUUUCUCUUGCCCUGCUGACC
rnacentral:snoRNA from 1 species